GAAAUAAAAUAUAAUAUUCGAUUGUAUUUAGUUCAUAUAUAUAUAUAAUACAUCUAAAAAAAUCACAAAAAAAUAUAUGUAAAAAUUCGAUUUUCGAUUCGGUACAAUUCUGGUUGGGUUUUGGUAUGGUUCCCGUUCGAUUUUUUGUGAAGAACUAGAAUCAAACUAAAAUAUUAUAAUAAGUUUAGUUUGGUACAGUUUCUAUCGGUUUAGUAUGAUUUUUCGGUUCGGUUCGGGAUCCUAGAAUCAUGCAUAGCCCUAACAGUAGCAGCUGCAAUUAUGGUCAUCAUUGAAUGUCAUGGAAACAAAGCUGUUCCAAAGAUUAUGCUAUAGUCAUGGCUAUCACAGUGCCAGUUCUUUUUCAAAGACAAGCAAAUUGUAUCAAAUGCAUAGAUUUGAAAGAAUUUGAAAAAAAUUUAAUAAAUGCAACAAAUACAUGUGCAUGGCAUCCAUAAAUUGAAAUGCUACAGAAUUUAUAUUCAUCAUGCUUUAAUCGAAUUCAAAUGGUAGGCCUUAGUGCAAAAGUAAAAUAGUAUACAUUACAAGAGUAGAAGGGAAGGAAGAGAAAGUGGUGACCCCCCGAUCAAGGUUUGCUGCAUAAACUUUCUUUUUUAACUUUUUAAUUUUCUUUCCCUCUUCAUUUAAUAUUUAAUACACUCUCAUUUCAUACAGGUAUUUUAAAGUAAUUUUACAUCUUCAUACAGGUAUUUUAAAGUAAUUUUACAUCAAUUUUGUCCUUUUAAAUUAAUGUUUUAUAUCAUUUUAGCCUUUAUUUUAGUUAAUUGUUGAUUUUAAUAGCUUUACAUUUGAUUUAUCGAAUUUUAAUAUUUUUAAUAGGUAAAAAGGUGUUUUGACGAUUAAAAGUGUAAUUAGAGGCGAUUCAAGGUGAUUUGAAAGCUUAUAGAUAUUUAAAAAAAAAAUUAAAGAAAAUUUGUUCAAUGAAGCAAACCCACCGAAAUUUGUAGGAGAAAUGACAUGGGGCAUGUUGCAGGCUAUGCAUAGAAAUGAAGAAGUAAUUUAGAAACAAAGAUUUGCAGAACGUAUGACAUGUUCAGUGUCAUUAGGUAGUGCAGCACCUGAAGCUUCCUUUUUGAGUUUAGCAUGGGACAUGUUGAAAUACACUGAUUUCAAUACUGGACCUGUUGACUGGCGUAAAAAGCAGACUUAGAAAAAAUUUUUUACUCCUCAGUACUAUGGUAUCUUUUGUCUUCAUCUUAUUUUAACUUAUUCUACGGUAGAAUUCUGAACCAUAUAUAGUCAUCAUUUUCUCAUUUUAUCCAUAAGUAGAAAGAGAGCAAAAAUGGAAGGAAGAGAAUAGAAGAAAGAGAGGACGUCAUUUUUCUGCUACACUGAAUUUAUUUAUAUUUCAAGUUCACAUGAUUUAAAAAGAAAAGGAUUAUAGUACUACUUCCACAUUAUAGAUUCCUCUACCUAUUUUAGCAUCUGAGGAGAAGCCCAAGAAGACGAAAAUGACCCAACAUAUGUGUGUAUACUAACAAAGUAGUUAGUUAUUUACCCAAGAGGGAAGCCUAUUAUACAUUAAUAUAAAUUUGCAGGUAGUGCUAUAAGAACAUAAAUCAUAUCAUGGAAAUGCAGACAAGGUAAAAUAGAAGACCACUUUUAUAGAGACUACCAAGAGAGGAUCACCUAAGCAAUAAGGUGAACGGCUUCAAACAAAUCACCAUAACAUCAUACAAGAAAAUAAUUAAAUAAAUAAAUAAAAUUAAGGGAUAACCAUUAAUCAAUUUAAAGUGUGUCAAGAAACACUGCCAUUGAUACUCCAGGGGGAUAGAUUACAAAUAGAUUGAUAAUUUGAAAUCACAAGCUCUAGUCAUCACUAUAUUAAUGACUAAAAAAAAUAUAUCAUUAUUUUGCAUUCAUAUUGUAGAAGAAAAUUCAAUUAAGUCUUUAUAAUUUGUGUUUCCCCUAAAAGAAAAAUUGAAUAAGGCGUUUAUACACCAUGGAGUGAGCAAAUAUGGGUAUCAAUUGGAUGAAAUAUGGCAACUAUCCCAAGCUAUUUAAUUUGACAUGCCAAGAGGGCCACUUUGUAGAAAAUCUUUGAAACUUCCUAUGCCCACCCAAGAGUUCAACAACUCUUAGUUCUCUAACUCCUUUGUACAUUUUGAAGCAUUUGCACAAUUAUAUAUAAAAUUAAACAUGGUUGUAGAAAUUAUACCUAGUAGGAAGUAAUUCAAUGGACAAGAAUUUGUAUAAAGUAAUAGCCAUAACAUUUAAGUAAGAUAUAUUUAUUUUUAAAGGUCAUAUGUCUAUAUCUAAAAUUGAAAAUAAAAUGCAUGCUCCUGAGUUAAAGUAAGUUUAUAUCAACCACAUUACCUAGUUUCACCAUCUGACAUUAGAGAAACUGAACAAAAUUUGCCUAUUUAAAGUCAUUUUGCUGAUCUAAUUGUUAUUUACUAGCUCUAGUACCUUGUUCUUAAUCUCCCAUGCCAAUCCUAAAGCUUAUCCUGAUCUUAUAUCAUUCAAUUCCAUCACUUACUCACAUUAAACUCUACAUUAUAUAUAUACAUUCAAAAUACCCACAAAAAAUGAGCAUUGCCACUCACCUCAGUAAACUUUUACUCUUCUUCUUCUCAAAAGAAAAAAAGCAGAAAUUUAAACAAUACCUGUAAU
rnacentral:misc_RNA from 1 species